rnacentral:rRNA from 1 species
UACGUAGGGUGCGAGCGUUAAUCGGAAUACUGGGCGUAAAGCGUGCGCAGGCGGUGAUGUAAGACAGAUGUGAAAUCCCCGGGCUCAACCUGGGAACUGCAUUUGUGACUGCAUCGCUGGAGUGCGGCAGAGGGGGGAUGGAAUUCCGCGUGUAGCAGUGAAAUGCGUAGAUAUGCGGAGGAACACCGAUGGCGAAGGCAAUCCCCUGGGCCUGCACUGACGCUCAUGCACGAAAGCGUGGGGGAGCAAACAGG